rnacentral:rRNA from 1 species
CGCCUCUUGACAAUAAUAGGAGGUCCUGCCUGCCCAGUGACAAAGUUCAACGGCCGCGGUACCCUAACCGUGCGAAGGUAGCAUAAUCNCUUGUUCCUUAAAUAGGGACUCGUAUCAACGGCAUCACGAGGGUUACACUGUCUCCCCCCUCCAAUCAGUGAAACUGAUCUCCCCAUGAAAAAGUGGGGAUACCACUAUAAGACGAGAAGACCCCAUGGAGCUUUAAACCCAAUAGCAAUUUAGCAAAGCUACAAAAUUAUGCUAACGGCUUUAGGUUGGGGCGACCGCGGAGUAAAAACCAACCUCCACAACGAAAAGACUUAAAUCUUUACCCAAGAGCUACCACUCUAAGAAUUAGAAAACUAACGGACUGACCCGAUAUCGAUCAAUGAACCAAGUUACCCCGGGGAUAACAGCGCAAUCUACUUCAAGAGUCCAUAUCGACAAGUAGGCUUACGACCUCGAUGUUGGAUCAGGGUAUCCCAGUGGUGCAGUCGCUACUGAAGGUUCGUUUGUUCAACGAUUAAAACCCU